rnacentral:rRNA from 1 species
UACAGAGGUCUCAAGCGUUGUUCGGAUUCAUUGGGCGUAAAGGGUGCGUAGGCGGCGCGGUAAGUCGGGUGUGAAAUCUCGGAGCUUAACUCCGAAACUGCAUUCGAUACUGCCGUGCUUGAGGACUGGAGAGGAGAUUGGAAUUUACGGUGUAGCGGUGAAAUGCGUAGAUAUCAUGAGGAAUACCAGAGGCGAAGGCGGCUACCUGGACAAUUGCUGACGCUCAGGCACGAAAGCGUGGGGAGCAAAAGGG